CCCUUUGUGGUGUAGUUGGUAUCACACUGGACUGUAAUAGCCUCAACUCAGAACGUUUCGUUUCAGAUCAUCCAUUGGUCACCGGUUCGACUCCGGUCGAAGGGA